rnacentral:lncRNA from 1 species
CUCAGCUCCCUCGGGCGAUUUCGUGCACGCUAAUGUGCGCCUCUGUGUUUUCCUAAAUGCUGGUUUCUUCAUCAAGCGGCGGAAUAACGCAUCAGGGCAGGUGACCCACGUCACCGGGGUGAUGCACUGGUGCUCGCCGGGGCGGGCGCUGUGCCUGCGGGAGCCGCGCGGCCGGCGCGGUGUCGGGGCGCCUCGUGGGGGCCGAGCCGCGCCCGCACGUCCCUCAGGUAGGCGCGACCAGAGUUUCUUUAGACAGGAUGACCUGGCAGCGUUUCCACCCCACCCACGGCGAGUUUCGCUUUCCUAAUGUGGUUAAAAAGUGCGUUCUAUCUGAAAUAGGGUGGUUGAACAGGUUUCAACAUUUUACUUAAUUUUUUGUUUGUUUUAGAUUUCUUCCUUCUGGUGGGUCUCUUUCUUUUUCUGUCAAGAAGAUGUUCAUAACUGUCCUCUUUGGCAUUUGUUCAAAGUCCAGUUCUAAUAGCUUUUGGACUGUGGUUUAAUUUUAACCAUAAAGCAUUCUUUUGGAAUAAUUGCUUUUGAAUCUGGGAAGAGCCAGCUGGAUACAAGGCCAUAAACACCCCCCUGCGGGGAAUGUACAGGCUUUAAGUUACGUUUUUUUACCACUAGCAUUUCUCUUUAUCUUUUUUCUUUUUUUGGAGACAGGGUCUGGCUCUGUUGCCCAGGCUGGAGUUCAGUGGUACAAUCAGAGCUCACUGCAGCCUCAUCCUCCUGGGCUCCAGCGAUCCUCCCAUCUCAGCCUCCCGAGUAGCUAGCUGGGACCACAGGCACGCAUCACUGGCUAAUUUUUUUUUUUUUUUUUAGAGACAGGGUGUUGCUAUGUUGCCCAGGCUGAUCUCAAACUCCUGGUCUCAAGUGAUCCUCCUGCCUCAGCCUCCCAAAGUGCUGGAAUUACAGGCCUGAGCCACCAUGCCUGGCCUAGCAUAUCUCUUUUUUUAAAAAAAGGAGACUGAUGGGGGUUGGGGGGAUGCAAAUUGUGAGUAGAUAGGUGGGAUUGGAGGAGAGUUUGAACAUCUGCUUUAAUCAACUAAAUGGUGUCUUAGAGCUGUCCUGCGGGCAACCAUGUGGCCUCAGAUUUCUGGGACAAUCUCAAUUUCUGGGACAGAGGACUGGCCCACUGGCCCUUUGUUAGGCUACGCAUCAGACCACCACCAAUUUCCAGUUCUGAAAUUGUGGUCACCAGAGAGACCUAUCAGCAGCCAUAGACAUUAUCUCCUUCGGAAUGACUGGACCCAGGCAGCCAGGCAGAGCUGGGGUCCCCAGAGCUCCUGGCACUAGCCGGAAUAUUUCCAGUUCCUCUUCUUCCCUUACAGCACAAGUCCUUUGGUAAUCAUUGCUCAUAUUUGUAGAACCUUAGAGAAUUUUGGAUGUAGCAGGACAGAAAUUGGUUGCCUGCCAUUUUGUGGCUUGGGUGGCAUACAUCUUGUUUGGCAAUUAAAAAAAAAAGAUGAGAAGAAAAUGGGAUAUGCAAUGGAGACCAAUUCAAGAAAAAGUGAUUUAUGCCAGUCCUAGCUGAGGCAGAUGAAUUUGGGAAGACUUACUUGUUUUCUAGAAAUAGUCUUCACUUGACCAGAGAUUCAUACUUGGGCGUAUUUAAAUACAGAGCUCUUCUGGAGCAUUUGACUAGAAGGACAGAAAACCAGAGACUAAUUAACCAGUUGUUACCAGCGGGAAAUCCGUUUUUGUUUGUUUGUUUGUUUGUUUGUUUUCUUUUUGAGGCGGAGUCUCGCUCUGUCGCCAGGCUGCAGUGGAGUGGCGUGAUUUUGGCUCACUGUGCAAUCUCUGCCUCCUGGGUUCAAACCAUUCUCCUGCCUCAGCCUUCCAAGUAGCUGGGAUUACAGGUGCACUCCACCACACCCAGCUAAUUUUUGUAUUUUUAGUAGAGACGGGGUUUCACCAUGUUGGCCAGGAUGGUCUCAAUCUCCUGAUCUGGUGAUCUGCCUGCCUUGGCCUCCCAAAGUGCUGGGAUUAUAGGCGUGAGCCACUGCGCCAGGCCAAGAGAUCAGUCUUACAUGAAAAUCAAGGGUUCAGUUACCCAGUGGGUCAGUAAGAGAUGAGGCUUUCAUUUAGAAAAACCGGAGCCUGAGGCCGGGCGCGGUGGCUCACGCCUGUAAUUCCAACACUUUUGGAGGCCAAGGCAGGUGGAUCACGAGGUCAGGAGUUCAAGACCAGCCUCGCCAAGAUGGUGAAACCCUGUCUCUACUAAAAAUACAAACAUUAGCUGGGCGCAGUGGCAGGCAGCUGUAAUCCCAGCUACUUGGGAGGCUGAGGCAGGAGAAUCGCUUGAACCUGGGGGGCAGAGAUUGUGCCACUGCACUCCAGCCUGGAUGACAGAGUGAGACUCCAUCUCAAAAAAAAAAUUAAAUUAAAAAUAAAAGUAGAAAAAUUGGAGCCUGUGCAGCUCUCCUGAGGGCAGAUGCAUAAAGCUGGGUGCGCCCCUCCAGCCUGCUGGGUCCCACAGAAGCUCAAGAGGCAGGGGCCAUGUCUUUCACCACUUGUCACUGCUAUAAUUCCCUGUUUAGAACUCUCAGUGAGUGUCAGAUCAACACAUUCAUCCACCAUAUCCCGUGUGUAUAAGAACAAUCCAUCACUCCUGACCUAAUCCAGCACAGAACAGAACUUCUGGAAGAGGACUAAAGAAGAGAAAGAGUGGAAGUGUCACAUGCCCAGAGGAAAAUAGAUGCGACAGAGAUGAAUAAAACAAAACAAAACAAAAGGAAGAAAGCCAAGCUAAUCUGGGAGUUCCAUCACGGCUAAGAACGCAUCUUUGUUUUGUCACGCGGUUUCUAGCCCGGCUCAGACCUGGGCUGCGGCACCUCAGGCAUCUCCUUUCAUCUCUCGGCUUUUCUCCUGGCUCCCGGGCGCUUCUCGAGACUUUUUGGACCUGGACUGGUCCAUGGCAGAACACCUCUUUCCUGAGUCCUCCCUAUGCACCUGCCCAAAGCGGGGGAUUGGGGUGGCACUCUCCAAGAUGCCAGGCUCCUCAAAUGGAGCCAUCACCCCCUAGGCUGUACUUGGCAUUGUCUCCAAGGAGCCUGGGGAGGUAACCGGUUGGGGACUGAUUCACUUGGGAGGGAGGGAGCGAGUGCAGAUUGCAGAUGCUAUCUAGUCGGGCCAAGUCAACCUGGGGAAGGGCAGGUCUGUGUCUCAACUGGUUUAGGGGUGGGAGAGUGGGAUUGGAACUUUUACACCUUGCAUUCUUAGGACGUCACAAUGGUUUUCCCAAGGCCUCCUUAUCUGAGGGUGUUUACCUAUUCAACCAGCAUACGCAGGUUCAGGACUCCCACUUUGUCCGGGUUCUGUCCUCACAGGCACAGGAAGAUUAAUGCGAACAACAGGGUCUGACAAACCAAAACUCACAGAUAAGAGACUUGGGUUAUUAGGGCAGAUGCCAGAAGUCAUGGGAUCUUCACGGGGUGGCUGUAGGCUGAGCAAUCUCCCUCGGGAUGUGAGGGGGUGUAUUUCUGCGUUAUUGGUCAUUGAGAAAUUCCCUAAUCUUAGAGAGAAAAGGAAUGAAACCAAGGGCUUGAAUCGGAGUAUACGUAGUUGACCUAAUUAUAAGGUUGUCCAUCCAUCUGUUUAAUAAAUAGUUCCAUGAUGUGGGACGGCAAGGUCACUCAUAGCCCUGAACAUUAACAACGUUUUCCUAAGGUUCUGGAAAAAAAGUGGUAACCAUGUGUUCAGCUGCAGGCUUGUUCUGUCUCAGGCCUCAGGCUGACAUGAAUCAGAAAUAGAGGGAAAUGUGGAAGUGGCAUUGCAAAUAUUAGUUCUAAAAACGGACUGGGAAGAGAGAGUGCCUCUAGACCCAGUCAUGGCCUAGCCAAGCCCCAGAAGAAUGACAUCACCCAUUGUGCCUCGUGGGGAGCCCCUGAGGCUGUCAUGGAUUUGUAGUCCUAUGUGGGACAGCGCUGCUGACGCGGUUAUUUCCUGCACUAGACCUACCCUGUCAGCAAGACACUGUUUACAUGAGCUGAGUGCCAAGUUGCGGCACAUUAUGCACAAUCGCUUUUAAGUUCAAUUAAAUUAACGUUUAGAAACAUUGUAGAUAGAAAAAGCUAAAGAGCAUUUUAGCAAACAGUGAUUACCUAGAGAUGCAAGUGCUUUGAAUUUGAGCAUUAGAGAACUUGUGAAUUUGUAGGAGUUAAGCAGGACAAGUACCCAUCUAAUGAAUGUUCAUAAGGGAAGCGCGCGUGUAGGAGGCAUUUCAGGUAGCCCAGCGCAGACCAAGGAGGGAAGGAAACAGAUAAGAUGUCAGAAAACAUCUUCAAAUACCCAGAGUUGUUAUCCCCUCCACGAAACAUUGGAGGGCGAAUUGUUUGGGUCAGUAAAAUAGAAUCAUAAAGUGUGAAGAAGAAACCUGUGGAACAUUCUGGAAGAAUUGGUCAGAGAUGGGCCGGGCGUGGUGGCUCACACCUGUAAUCCCAGCACUUUGGGAGGCCGAGGUGGGUGGAUCACCUGAGGUCAGGAAUUCAAGACCAGACUAGCCAACAUGAUGAAACCCCGUCUCUACUAAAAAUACACAAAAUUAGCCGGGCGUUGUGGUGGGCGCCUGUAAUCCUAGCUACUCAGGAGGCGGAGGCAGGAGAAUUGCUUGAACCCGGGAGACAGAUUGCAGUGAGCUGAGAUUGCGCCACUGCAGUCCAGCCUGGGCAACAAGAGCGAAACUCCAUCUCAAAAAAAGAAAAAAAAAAAAAAAGAAUUGGUAAGAGAUGAAUACCCCAUCACAGCCUCUUUGAUUUCAGAGGUGAAAUAGUUGAACCCCAGACCUCACUGUCAGAUGUAAAGAGUCACUCCAAAUUUAUAAGCUCAUUAAACUAGUAUUUCUGACCGUUUACACAUUUGGCUGUAGAGAAAAUACACAGAAUGCUUCCAGCCACACCUAUGCCUACUCAAGCCACUUAGCUGACAAGCCACUUAGCUUUUUCUUCUAAUUACUCGGGUGCGCGUCUCUGUUAUUUACAAAGUUUGGUGAAGUCAGGGCAGGGGGAAUUUAUGGUUCGAUACCCUUUCUAGCACAGAGGGGUAAAAUUCAGCCUGUCUUUUGAAAUCAGUCUGAACUGUCAAACUCCCAGUUGAGGACUCCUCUCCCCAAAUCAGGAAUCUUUUUUGUUUUCUCUGGCUAUGGGCCACAGUCAGGGCUUUGGAGUUCAUUUGUAUGCCCUCCCCCAUCCCCAUUAGUGUUAUUGUGUAUAUUUGAGGUACUUAUUCUUCACUGACCAUAGGUGAAUAGGAGCUGGUUCACCUAAAAGCUCCCACUCCCCAUUCACUUUUUUUUUUUUUUUUUUUUUUUUGAGAUGGAGUCUUGCUCUGUUGCCCAGGCUGGAGUGCAGUGGUGAGAUCUUGGCUCAAUGCAACCUCUGCCUCCCAGGUUCAAGCGAUUCUCCUGCCUCAGCCUCCUGAGUAGCUGGGAUUACAGGCGCCCGCCAGCAAGCCCUGCUAAUUUUUUUGUAUUUUUAGUAGAGAUGGGGUUUCGCCAUGUUGGCCAGGCUGGUCU